UUUCCGUAGGUGAACCUGCGGAAGGAUCAUUAAAGAGUAAGGGUCCUCUAGGCCCGACCUCCCAACCCUUUGUUUACCAAACCAAUGUUGCUUCGGCGGGCCCGUCUUAGGACCGCCGGAGGACCGUCGAAACGUCCCCUGGCCCGCGCCCGUCGAUGGCCCUUAUUAUUAAACUCUGAACCAAACGUGUCCUGUCUGAGUGAUUAUUAUCAAAAUUAAAGCAAAAACUUUCAACAACGGAUCUCUUGGUUCCG
rnacentral:misc_RNA from 1 species